rnacentral:rRNA from 1 species
AAUUAAAGUAGUUUUAAUAUUAUAAUUGGGGGGUUUUAGUAUUAAUAAAGAAAUAAUUAUAAAAUUUAUAGUUAAUUAGUAUUGUAAAAGAAAUUUUAAAUAUUUUGAAAAUAAAAUUUAUUAAAAAGUAAAUUUUAUUUAUUGUAUCUUGUGUAUCAGAGUUUAUUAAAUAUAUAUUUUAGUUAAAUUAUUUCUCGAAUUUAAAAGAGAUAAUUAAUUAUAAAAGUUAUUGUUGCAUAAAUAUUUUUAAUAAUUAAUUUGAAAUGAAAUGUUAAUCGUUUUUAAAUAUAUCUAGUUUUUUUAGAAAAAAAUUUAAUUUUAAAUUUAUUUAAUAAACUAAUUAAUUAAUUAAUUAGUUUAAAAUAUAGUUUUAUAUUUUAAGGGAUAAGCUUUAAAUUAAAUUUUUAUAAUUAUUUUUAUUUUUAUUUUGAAAUUUUUAAAAUUUAUAUUAUUUAAAAAUUUUAAUUUGUUAUAAAUAAUUUCAUUAUUUAAUAAAAUUUUAUAAUAAUUUAAUUUUUUAUGAAAAAAUAAUUUUUAAUAAAAUAAAAAUUAGUUAUAAUGAUAAAAUUAGUAUUAAAAUAAUAUAAAAUUAUUUAAUUUAUGGGAAUUAAAUAAAAGGAAUUCGGCAAAUAAUUAAUUAUAUUCACUUGUUUAUCAAAAACAUGUCUUUUUGAAAAUAAUUUAAAGUCUAAUCUGCCCACUGAUAAAAAUAUAUUAAAGGGCUGCAGUAUUUUGACUGUACAAAGGUAGCAUAAUCAAUAGUCUCUUAAUUGGUGACUUGUAUGAAAGAUUGGAUGAAAUAUAAACUGUCUCUUAUUUAUUUUAAGAAUUUAAUUUUUUGAUUAAAAAGUCAAAAUAAAUUUAAAAGACGAGAAGACCCUAUAGAGUUUUAUAUUUAAAUUUAUUGAGAUUAUAUUUUAGUUUAAUAAUUAAAAUUAAUUUAAAUAUUUUAUUGGGGUGAUAAAAAAAUAUAAAUAACUUUUUUUAACUAUUUAACAUAAAUAAAUGAAUAUAUGAUCCAGAAAUUUUGAUUAAAAGAAAAAAUUACCUUAGGGAUAACAGCGUAAUUUUUUUUUUUAGUUCAAAUAAAAAAAAGAGUUUGCGACCUCGAUGUUGGAUUAAGAUAAAAUUUAUAUGCAAAAGUAUAAAAUUUUGAUCUGUUCGAUCAUUAAAAUCUUACAUGAUCUGAGUUCAAACCGGUGUGAGCCAGGUUGGUUUCUAUCUUUAAAAAAAAUUAAAAUAUUUUAGUACGAAAGGAAUAAAUAUUUAAAUUAUUAUUUAAUUAAAAGAAUUUUAUUAAAAUU